GGUGGCAGCUUGUUUGUAGAAACAGUUCGGAGGUUUUCUGAGUUCUGUUUCAUUGUGUGUUGGGGGGGGGGGGGGGGAGAAUGUGAUUGACUAGAUAAAAGUUGUAAGGAGGCAUGAGCUGACACGGAGAGUGAACUCCCAUCCCCGAGGAGUCGGCGGAAGCGGAAGUGUGGCACACCUGCCUGAAUCCCCGUUACCACUCCAAGGAUCGCUAAUCCAAGCUUGAGAAGUUCGGUGUUCAAAGAAUCUUUCACGGCAAAGGAAGCUGGGCCACGGCUGCGGAGAGGAAGUGAAAUGAUGAGAGGAAGGAAACUGCUGGAGAAGAGACCACCAAGGCAGACAUCGGGAAGGCAGACUGCCCCGUUUCCUUCAUGGGACGGUUUUUGAACAUUUCAUCAUGUAUUUCUAUUAGGACAGGUAGACUGAGCAUCCCGAACCCCCAAAUCUGAAACUCAAAAUGCUCCCAAGUGCAAGACUUGACUUGAGCACUGACUUGACUCCACGGCUGGCCUCGUGCAAUCUCUAAGAAAACACAGAUCCAUUAAAAACUACCAUGUAAACUUACCGUCAGCCAUGCGCACAAGGUACAUGAGAGACUGAAAAGAACUUCAUGUUUAGACUUGGGAUUCACCUUCAAGACUCCUAUUUAUUCAAAUAUUCCAAAUUUAUUUUAAAAUCAGAUUCUGGUGGAAAUCAUUUCAGGUAAAGGACCUCUGACUUGUGUGCCUGUUGAUGGGAUUCACCGUGACCACGGAGGUCAGGCUAUCUAGCUGAUUCAGCCAUUGGACUGGCUCCCUUGGCUUUUGAAUUAACCAGGUGUGUGACUAAGUUUACAGGGCUUGGCUUUGUCACUGCAGACACAGCACCUUAGAGUCUUAUAAUGUAGGAUAACUGUAUAGGAUACAGUGUUUGGCCAUUUCGGUUAAAACUCAGGGUGCCAUUUGAUGCAGCUAUGAUAACAGCACAGAUUCUGGUCUCUUCUAAAACUGUGUGUAGCCCUGAAAACACUUCUGACUGAAAAUACUUGACUGAAGAUGGCUUCCUUGGAAUAACUACAUGCAUUUUAUUUUUUUUUUUAAGAAUUGUCUAUAUAGAUAGCAUUCGCUAAGUAAAGACAUUGUUGGUGAAUGCUCCCCAAAAUAGAAGUGUACAUAAUGGAAAUAUAAAAGAUCUAUUGAAAGAUAUGCCAAAGAUUAUUUUUUAACCUAUAUGCCAAUAAUGCACAUGAUCUUACGUAAGAAACCAAAGAAAGUUGUUCAAAACUGUAAAUAGUGUCAGAGAAAUGUUACAUGUCUCCUCUCAGAAUAGUUGCAAGAAGGGUUAGUUUGGGUUAUUCUCUGCCUCAAGUAAUUUUCUUUAAAAAAAAAAAUGCCAUCCUCACCCCAAGGCAAGUAAGCAUUUCCAUUAAGUCUGAGAUGUGUUUUAGGAGCUAUGUGUGUAAAUAUGCCUUGAGAAAGGAGCCGGAGUGAUUGUGGCUUUAAAUAUCCAACAGCCUCCAUCUGCCAGUUAGUGGGAAGGUCUACACCAGAGGUCAGAGUCUUCUGGCCUCAGCCACACUGACAAGAGAGGCCACAAGGUCCCCACUUAAAGAGCACUUCAUCUUGGCCAUUGUCUGUGAGGCUCAGUUCUCCAAGAACAAAGAGCAAGUCUCUCUUGCUUAACCUCCAUCACACAGAGAACAGUUCACGGCUCACAUACCCUGCAUGCACGGUUUAGAGCAGAAGUCGCUUCUGGCUGUGUGCUUUGGAUGUUUGGUUGUACCUACUAAUUCUGAAGUCCACAGAGGUGCAUUUAGCUGCUCUGCCGCGUGUGUGAAGGGUAAUAGAUCAUGUAAAUAAACCCAGCAACUGAACCUGUUAUGUUCUAUAAUAGAGCACUUCCCUGGUUUCAAAAUCAUUUACGUUCUCUGCAAAUCUAGUAAAAUGGCAGUAAAUGUAUUUUUUUUCCACACUACAGCAUCUACCCACACGAUUGCAUUGUAACCAGCAUUGUUUGAGCAAAGAACCUCAUCAGUCUUUCUAUUUAAAUAAUGUAUGUGCUUAAUAUAUUUUCAGAUAUGUAACCAUGGUUAAAGGAAACCUAUAUGGAAUCUUGCACAAACCCUCACCAAUGUAGGAAUAAAACUGCUGCUCAUUG
rnacentral:lncRNA from 1 species